rnacentral:rRNA from 1 species
AUGCAAAUAAGAGCCCCUCCUGCUCUUCCCCCCGUCCGUUCAGCCGGCCACUCCAGCCGUCGACCGAGCUGCUUGUGGCCGAUCCCUCCCGGCAACCCAGGCCCUACCUCCAGCGACCGCGACUUUCUCGGCUACAUCUUCCUCAAUUGCUCCACCUCUUGGCGCAUCGGCCGUGGAGAGCUCACCCUCCCAUGGCUCCCCAACCUGCGGGCGCUCUACCAGUUCCGCCUCUUCUGUUGUCACGCCAAAAAGUACUCCUACCACGACGUCGACCACGACGGUAACCCGCUCCUCCACGGCCGCCACCACGUCGCGCACUCCGGCGAGGUCUCUUUCGCGGGCUCGGCCGCGCAGCCCGAGCAGGUGCACCUCUCGUUCGCUGAUAGGGCCGACGAGAUGCGGGUGAUGUUCGUGUGCGCGGAUGCCGGAAAGGGGGCCCUGAGGUAUGGGCUUGAGAAGGAGGAGGAGAAGGGCUGGACGGAGGUGGGCACAGAGGUGAGGACGUACGAGCAGAAGCACAUGUGUGAUCCGCUGGCGAACAACAUCGUAGGGUGGAGGGAUCCAGGCUUCGUCUUCGAUGGCCUCAUGAAUGGAUUGGAGCCCGGAAGGAGGUACUUUUACAAGCAACUUAGUGUUCCAGCGGCAUCAGAUUGUUCUUCUAGUAUCUUGCCCAGCAGAGGAGCCGGCCGUCAUCAUGAGCGGCGCGCUGUUCUCCAUGUUGUCAGGCGACUUGCUGGAGCUCGACGACGAGCAACGGUUUGGCGGCAUGGUUGCCGGGUCGUACUAUGA